GACACGGGAUGCUUACGCCGCGGUGAGUAGGAGGGUCGCAGCGGCGAGCGUUGAAGGUGCCGGGCGCGAGCCCGCCUGGAGCCGCCGCUGGUGCAGAUCUUGGUGGUAGUAGCAAAUACUCAAGUGAGAACCUUGAGGACUGAGGUGGAGAAGGGUUCCAUGUGAACAGCAGUUGAACAUGGGUCAGUCGGUCCUAAGGGAUAGGAGAAAUCCGUUCCGAAGCGGGUGUUUUUUAAAACGUCGUGCCCGCCGGUCGACCGAAAGGGAAUCGGGUUAAUAUUCCCGAACCCGGACGCGGAGAUCGGCCUCUCGGGGCCAAGUGCGGCGACGCAACCGAACUCGGAGAUGUCGACGGGAGUCCCGGGAAGAGUUGUCUUUUCUUUGUAAGGGCUCGGCUCCCUGGAAUCGGC
rnacentral:rRNA from 1 species